CUGCAGCCCGAGUGGCAAUCGUUUUUAUUGGGUCUAAAGCGUUCGUAGCCGGUCUGACUAAUCUUUUGUGAAAUCGAUAAACUUAACUUAUCGGCGUGCAAGAGACACUAUCAGACUAGGGACCGGGAGGAGCAUGAGGUAUUCUAGGGUGAGCGGUAAAAUGCUGUAAUCCUUAGAGGACCACCUGUGGCGAAGGCGUCAUGCCAGAACGGAUCCGACGGUGAGGAACGAAAGCUAGGGGAGCAAAACGGAUUAGAUACCCGCGUAGUCC
rnacentral:rRNA from 1 species